rnacentral:rRNA from 1 species
UACGUAGGGGGCAAGCGUUGUCCGGAAUUAUUGGGCGUAAAGAGCGUGUAGGCGGCCAGAUAAGUCCGCUGUGAAAUCUCGAGGCUCAACUUCGAGCUGUCGGUGGAAACUGUCUGGCUAGAGUCCGGAAGAGGAGAAUGGAAUUCCUGGUGUAGCGGUGAAAUGCGCAGAUAUCAGGAAGAACACCUAUGGCGAAGGCAGCACUCUGGGACGGUACUGACGCUGAGACGCGAAAGCGUGGGGAGCGAACAGG